rnacentral:rRNA from 1 species
AGGUUAUUGCAAUCGGUGUUGGCUUAAGCCAUGCGAUUCAUAUGUUCGUAAGAACAUGGCGUACUGCUCAGUAACACGUGGAUAACCUGCCCUUGGGUCCGGCAUAACCCCGGGAAACUGGGGAUAAUUCCGGAUAACGCACAUAUGCUGGAAUGCUUUAUGCGUAAAAUGGAUUCGUCUGCCCAAGGAUGGGUCUGCGGCCUAUCAGGUAGUAGUGGGUGUAAUGUACCUACUAGCCUACGACGGGUACGGGUUGUGAGAGCAAGAGCCCGGAGAUGGAUUCUGAGACAUGAAUCCAGGCCCUACGGGGCGCAGCAGGCGCGAAAACUUUACAAUGCGGGAAACCGUGAUAAGGGGACACCGAGUGCCAGCAUCCUAUGCUGGCUGUCCGGGUGUGUAAAAUACACCUGUUAGCAAGGGCCGGGCAAGACCGGUGCCAGCCGCCGCGGUAACACCGGCGGCCCGAGUGGUGAUCGUGAUUAUUGGGUCUAAAGGGUCCGUAGCCGGUUUGGUCAGUCCUCCGGGAAAUCUGACAGCUUAACUGUUAGGCUUUCGGAGGAUACUGCCAGACUUGGAACCGGGAGAGGUAAGAGGUACUACAGGGGUAGGAGUGAAAUCUUGUAAUCCCUGUGGGACCACCUGUGGCGAAGGCGUCUUACCAGAACGGGUUCGACGGUGAGGGACGAAAGCUGGGGGCACGAACCGGAUUAGAUACCCGGGUAGUCCCAGCCGUAAACGAUGCUCGCUAGGUGUCAGGCAUGGCGCGACCGUGUCUGGUGCCGCAGGGAAGCCGUGAAGCGAGCCACCUGGGAAGUACGGCCGCAAGGCUGAAACUUAA